rnacentral:rRNA from 1 species
AAGAUUAAACUGAAGAGUUUGAUCCUGGCUCAGAUUGAACGCUGGCGGUAUGCUUAACACAUGCAAGUCGAACGGAAAC